rnacentral:rRNA from 1 species
CGGGAUGGACGUACCUCUGGUGUACCAGUUGUCCUGCCAAGGGCAUGGCUGGGUAGCUAUGUACGGAAUGGAUAAGCGCUGAAAGCAUCUAAGCGCGAAGUCAACUUCAAGAUAAGAUUUCCCACCGAAAGGGUAAGACCCCAGAAAGACUAUCUGGUUGAUAGGUCGAAGGUGUAAGUGCAGCAAUGUAUUUAGCUUAUCGAUACUAAUAGGUCGAGGACUUGACCA